rnacentral:lncRNA from 1 species
AUGUUCAUCAAUCGUUGAUUGUUUUCAACUAACCACAAAGUCACCGGAACACUAUACCUGCUAUUCGGCGCAAGAGCGGAGAUAAUAGGCACCGCCUUAAGCUUCCUAAUUCAAGCAGGACUAGACCAACCAGAAACUCUACUAGGAGAUGAUCAGAUGUACAAUGUUAUUGUUACUGCCCACGCGUUCGUUUUCAUCUUCUUUAUGGUGAUACCAAUCAUAAUUGGGGGUUUCGGGAACUGGCUAGUCCCUCUGAUAACUGGUGCACCCGAUAUGGCAUUCCCCCGGAUAAAUAAUAUGAGCUUCUGACUUCUCCCUCUAUCUUUUCUGCUCCCUACUUGCAUCCUCAAUAGUAGAAGCCGGCGCUGGAACCGGCUGGACGGUUUAUCCCCCUUUAAGAGGAAACCUAGCACAUGCAGGAGCCUCUGUGGACCUGACCAUCUUCUCGCUCCACUUGGCAGGUGCCUCUUCUAUUUUAGGAGCCAUUAACUUUAUUACCACUAUUAUUAACAUAAAACCCCCAGCUAUGUCCCAGUAUCAAACACCCCUUUUCGUCUGAUCAGUCCUCAUUAUGGCAGUCCUUCUACUCCUUUCUCUUCCAGUCCUAGCCGCCGGGAUUACUAUACUAUUAACUGACCGUAACCUCAACACUAAUUUUUUUGAGCCUGCUGGCGGGGGUGACCCUAUCUUGUACCAGCAUUUAUUCUGGUAU